GCUUGCUGUCAAUAAAUAUGUGGGUAAAUCUCUGUUUGGGGCUCUCAGCUCUGAAGGCUGUGAGACCCGAUUUCCCACUCCACACUCUGUAUUUCUGUGUGAGUGUCUUUAAUUCCUCUGGCGCCGCUGGGUUAGGGUCUCCACGACUGAGCUGAUCUCAGUAUCUACCACAUUCUGCUUUAUUCUCUUCUCUAGGGUAAGAAAAAUCACAAUACAUGGGUAUUCAAUAAAAUUCAAUUAAUUUAAGCCUGACUCUUGAGAAUGUGCAAUUGAAGGUUAUGAAUGUGUCACACCUAAGGUGGUGGUAGAAGUCUCUGGCACAUGGAAAAUGCCUGUUUUAACUUUUAGCUAUUUUUUUCAGGUUUUUGUCAUUAGAAUAUUUCUUCUGUUUCUACUGCAAAUAACUAUCAAAAAGGAAAAGAACAACUAGGAUGGCCUCCCCUGUUUAUCAUUGGCCCUACAAUUUUCUAGGAGUAAUAUCUUUUUGGAAUUAUGUAAUGUCCUCUGCUAAUGACAGUGUAUAGAUGCUAUUACAUUUCCUUGGGGGACAAAGUACUGUUGUCUGGAAGCUUUGAGAUUAAUGUAACACAAAGUAAAUAAGGAAGCGUUUUGCAUAUUCUUAGAUUUUUACAUUUUUAUUUUAAAACAGAGAAUUUCAUUACAGUGUCAGCUCUUUAAUAAAUACAUAAAACAGAAGUUAGUAGUCAAUCAGAGUUAUAUGAACAGGUUCAUAGUAUAUUAUGUGAAAGUAUCAUAUUCUCCAAUAUUCUGUAUCAUUUAAGACAAUUUAAGUUACGUAUAAUUCAAAGCCAGAAAUAAUAAGAAAUAUGUUCAGUGAUAAUUUGCUUCUUUCUUAGAGCUAUUUUAUAUUCAAAUAUUUAAUUUAAAAAUAUAUUCUAUAUUAAAUUUAUUUUUACAAACGCAGUAUUCGUUAGGUGAAACAAAAUAAGUUUUUAUGUUACUGAUAAGUUUAAUACAUUUCUAAUUUUUUUCAGAAGUUCAAGAAACCAUAAUGAAGUAGCUAAUGUAAAAUAGUUUAAAAGCUAUGUUAAAUAUACACAAAAUGAAUUUCUAUAUUAAUAUGUGCAAAUGUAUAUUUUCUUAUAAUUUAGAAUUAAAGUACUUUAUACUCAAUAUUCUUAAUAAAAUUUAUGUACCAUACUUGUCAUUGCGUAGACUUCUUAUCAAAAUUUCACAUUUAUCUGUAGGAAAAUGUAAAGUUGGUAAAAAUUGUUUACACAAAUCACACAUUUUCCAUCCUUGACAAUUGCAGUGUUUUUUUUUUAAAUAUUGCUGUAUUAGACAAUUUUAACUGAAGUAGGUUGUAGAGGCUAGAAGAAACCUGAUUAAUAGAGUUAGCUUACAAAGAUAAAUUUUAUGCAGAAAAGUAUUCCAGGUAGAUAAAAGAGUAGUGUUAUUACUCUCAGGUUUACAUUAACAGCUGCCCAGAUAGCUGAACAAUUAUUUCAUAUAAUUCAAAUAAUUUAAAUAUGCAGUUUUAUAACAGUCGUUACAUAAGCUUGAAGUUAAAGUGAUCAGAGCCAAGGGGGAAAAACCCACAAAUGAUAAAGAAGAAUAAAAAGUAAGAGGACUCUAGAAGAAAGUUGUUUUUCACAGCACUGAUUGUUUUUAUCAUAUUUUUCUCCUGCCAUUGAUACAAGACAUGUAAGAUGCUGCAAAACCUAACUAUGACAGUUCCAUGUAAUAUUUUUCCAGUUAAUUUUGUUUAAAAGUGAGAUGAUAAUAUAAAAGGAUCUCAUAUAAUAGAAUAAAAAUAAUAAAAAUUUGUUAAUGAAACGUAGACAUACCUACCCAUUCUUGUUAGUUAAGUUAGGGUUUGCUGAAAUCAUUCGCACUCACGUAAAGUAUAAAUGGGGACCUGAAAGAGCUUUUGUAAACUCAAGAUAUGCGGGAUCUGAGCUGAUAAUCAGUUAGGCUCCAUGUUGAGUUGUGCGUGACUCAGUUGUCCUUAAAUUUCGCCUUCAUAUUUUGUCAUAAAUGGGCUCUCAAAUCUUUAUAAGAAAACAAAAUUUGCCUAGAUGCUUGUCAGUCUUCGUUCGAGUGUACAACCAGCAACUGGCAUGACCGUGAG
rnacentral:lncRNA from 1 species